rnacentral:rRNA from 1 species
UACGUAGGGUGCGAGCGUUGUUCGGAUUUACUGGGCGUAAAGGGCGCGUAGGCGGUCAGCACAAGUCAGUUGUGAAAUCUCCGGGCUUAACUCGGAAAGGUCAACUGAUACUGUGCGACUAGAGUGCAGAAGGGGCAACUGGAAUUCUCGGUGUAGCGGUGAAAUGCGUAGAUAUCGAGAGGAACACCUGCGGCGAAGGCGGGUUGCUGGGCUGACACUGACGCUGAGGAGCGAAAGCGUGGGGAGCGAACAGG